UCUGGAGAAGGACGUGGAGGGACGAGGACAAAGACAGGUCAGGAUAUAGGGCGUACAAGUGACUGGAUAUUCAACUGAAACUUAUGGAGUAUGGGGCUGCAAGAGGCCUGGAGCCGGGGCAGCAGGAAAGACUGGGAGAGGAAACCGCAUAACCACAGCCCUGGAGGUCCGCAGCUGUUUCCCGUUAACGAACGAGGCGCACCCUCAUCAUUAGCUGUAAGCUAGUGGUCCCCGAGGUAUAAUGUUCACAGUUAUGGGCUGCUCUUGCUGUUUCAGGACUCCUUAAAGUCUAUAGACCUUUUGAUUGGACACCAUUAGGUCCGGUCAGGUCUGUCGGUUAAGUGUCUGAACGGGGGCUGAUGCAGAUUGCCCUGUGUUCUGUAGUGUUCACUGUGCUCAAUCGUUCAAUAUAUUAACUUGGCUAAUUAUUCAUUAGCUGAGUGUUUUCAUUAUGAGUCACACCUCCAGUCUGCUAUAAGAUUAUGAAGAAGAUUAUUAAGUUACUAUACAGUGAAUUUGGAAAGCUAAGCUUUGCUUGUGGUACGGUUAUAUACACUACCAGUCAAAAGUUUUUGCACAUCACAGGUUUUUACCACUUUUAUAUUUAUUUCAUACGGUAAACUGCAGAUUUUUCAUUCUUGCUAAGCAAGUUCAGUGAACAGCUAUAAAUGAAAAUAUAAAUCAAAUAAAACAAUUUCUGGUUGUGUGGUGAUGGCAAAUUCAAGGCUGUCCUUUAAAUGCACUAUCUGACUAUUUCAGCACAUGAAGCAGAGCAGUAUUUAAUGUCCAUUGAGGAAAGAAUUCCUCACAUUUGCUCUGCAGCUAUAACUGCGAGAGGAGGUUACUUUGAUCAGUCAAAGAUAUGAUAUUUUCUUGCUAAUAAAGGUACUCAAACAAACUGUAAAUGUAUUUGUUAGCAAAGAAUAUUAAGUGUAUUUUUAGUAAAUGUUAAGUGAGCAACAUACAAAUGUAGAAAAUCUCAGUGUGUACAACUUUUGGCUGGUAGAUGUAGGUAUUGUUGUUAUAUUGUUGUGGUAAAAGAGGAAAAUGCACUUAUGUGUCCUGACACAAAACAGAGCUGAAAUAACACAAAACCGGAUAAAAGGGGGGAAAAAAAGUGAAAUGUUGUUCUUUGGGUCUAAGCUUAUUACCUACAUUUGUUCAGCAAAUAUCCUUGUGAAAAAUGUGCCAGUCUGCUCCUUUAAUAUGACAGCAUGUUAUAUGUUUUCACUUAAAUUCACUGCUUGUAGAGAUUAACCGGUAUUUCACCUCAAUGCCAUUGUGAACUAAAACUCUGUGAGAUGCACUUAGUUUUAGCUUAUUAUUAAGCAUUAACAAAAAAACAAAUGUUACCCAUCACCUAAAAACAAGAAAAAAAAAUACUUAAAAAUACAUGGAACUGCUUUCUGUAACAAAUAUUUGCAAGCUCCCCUGGCAGACGAGCCCGAAUAUCACCACACACCACUGAAAGUUCCAGCAGAGACCACUGGCCCCGUAUGAUGGAAAAAACUGCAUUUUUAUGGUUAAUCAGUCAUGUUUGUGUCCUUUUUAACUGCGAGCCCAAAGAGUUUUAUUUCACAUUCUCCUCAGCUUGAAGCGUGGGAGAGUGAGAGAGGGUUGGAGCCCAGACAGAAAAGCUCAACUGAAUGCCUCUUUUUUUUAUAUAAAUCAUUUCCUUUUAUUCCACAUUCUCUUGGUGUGCACUCAGAAAAUAUGCUUAUAUAAAUGUCUUCUGAGAAUAUGUGUAGUCACACACUUCGGACGAAUCACUAGAGCUGCAAGAUUUACUUUGCAACAGUUUACUAUCUGUAGCGCCAACUCUUAUAUGCUAACUGUAGAAAUUCACAGAUUUAAAGAUACUUUUAAGUUAAUGGGUGACAGGUGACAGAAAUCCUGGCAGGCAUCUAUUAAAGCUGAGACAAAAAUAUGACGUCUAAGGAAUAAGAAUACAUUUUUUUUCAGAGUACAUCUUUUUCCAUGUUACAUUCCUCAGCACAUAUUUAUACAUAAAGCUCAUUUUUAAAAUGAAUUACCUACUGCUCUUCAAACUGCGAAUGCAAUUCUUUAGAGUAGCCUGCGCUGCCUAACAACCUAGGCUCCCAGGGGUCAAAGGUCAGCUCGUAAAGGUUACAGAGGUCACAGGAACCAAUCCUGAAGUGAAAGAAUACGUCCUUUUAUAAUGCUGAUUGGGAUUUUGUUGUUUUUUUUGCAGGAAACACCGAGGGUGCCACAUGGGGUAUGACAUGGUACAUUUCACAGUUCGUAAAUUAUACUAAAAAGGCAACAAAAAAGUAAAAGUAACACACUGGCCAAAGGAGUCUGGGUGCCACAAGCUUGCCGUUUCUCAGACGUGGUAAAAUUAUAAUUUAUAUUUGCUUUAUGGAAGGGGGAGUGAUGGCAUUUUUUUGGUUGCAUAAAUAUUUGCAAACGAGUACCACAUGGCUGUAACAUCAAGCGCUAAAAUAAAGAUACAGAUAAUUGUUAUUAUCGUAAGCAAUUAUAUUUCAUGAUGACUGGGUCAAAGGCAGAUUUUGCACUUUAGGAUUGAGGAUGUGGGUUUCAGAAAUGCAACCAUAGCCCGGGAAAUUGCAGAUAAUCAUUCGGGCUGCUAAUGUACAAAGUCUCAAUUGACAUCAAACAGGACAAGCACUGUAUUAAGUAUUCUUCCAAGUGGUUUGAGCUGAGGGUCACGCCAAAAUCAAUUCAGAAAAUUCACAGAGGAUACUCAUGAAACAUCUUAUUUUAUCACCCCUUAAGAAAAUGCAUUUGAUUGCAGUAUCACCUUGUCGUCUUAAAUAAAUAUUAUUUAAAUCUACUUAUUUUAGCAGAUGCUUUUGGCUGAAGUGACAUACAAGAGAGGAAGGCUUGGAGUUAAAGAGCAUCUAGCAACCCUGGGGCAGUUAGGGUUAAGGGUCCUGUUCCAGCGCCCAACAGUGAUAUGAUUACUCUACCACUCAUGGGAUUUGAACCCACGACCUUUGGGACAAAGACACAGAGCCCUAACCCUCUGGCACACCACCCCAUACAUCAUCAUCAUAAUUGUUUUAUAUUUUACUAAUCUUUCAUGUUUAUGUGUUGCAGUUAUGAGAACAGUUUGACCGUCCGGUAGGCGGCUAGCGUUCCAGGAAGCGGAAGAGAGGCCCUUACGUGUAUCUGUGGCAUAGAGACUCGAUGCAGAUCAGAACCCGCACAUUGUCCCUGGCCCGCAGCUGGCUCUUACUCUUCUUCACCUCUCCGUGGUCUACAGAAAGCACAAAACCGCACAGAACGUCAGCAACGGGACGGGAGUUUUCUCACUCGCCGCUAGACCCCUCAGUAGCCGGUGGACAGUAAAGCUCUUUGAAGGGCAGCCCAGCCACAGGUUUGGAACCGCAACGUGCUGACGACGCGUGCGAAACUUCCAAGGGAUACAGGAUCAUUACCCUUCCUGCUCACCGCUACCUCCACCUCCUCAAGGAGGUCAAGAGGGGUUAGGGUUAAAGGAUUGAUGAGACUUGUUGCAGUUUUCAGGACCGAUCGUGUCGUGUUGAGCCUAAGCGUGUUUUAUUGGAGGAAGGACACUGAAUCCCUGCAUUAAUCUUCCAGGCAGGUUCCCAUAGUCACUGGCGACACAGAAGCUUAGGGGAAUUUUACAUGCUGUGUCCCAAGGGCUUAUUCCACUGAAAGGUUGGACACAGACAAAGAACUGCCCUCCACACUAGAAGGCAAAACUCCAGGCACUGAAGGUACCCGUGCUUACCAAUGUGGAUGUUAGCUGAGAACUGGUAGAUGCCUGUUACCGGUGCUGUGAAGCGACCAGUGGAUUGAUCCAUGCCCGUCCCCCGGAGAAAGGCACCUUUGGCAGGAGGCUGGGGAGGUACAGAAAGGUGUCACAGCAAACACAGCGGAAAAGCAGGUGCCUUUGAAGACUGCUAUGUAUAUAUCGAUUGUGGAUAAAGGGGAUUUGAACAUGAAAAACAGUGUUAAUGCUGGAAGAGAAAACUUUAUGGAGAGCACAUGUCUGUAAUCGCUGAAAACCCACAUAAUCAACAACAAACAUUUUUUUGCAGGUCACAUAUUAUCAGGCUUCCUCUGCCAGGUUUGAAGUAUUUUAUCAUUCCAUAAAUUUCUUCCUUGGGACUUACCAUCUUGACCCUUGCAUGGGACAAUGACUAAAAUCAAUCAUCUGUAUGCACUGCAAGACUUUUUGCACUACCUACCCUGCUGGGAUACACUUUGGUCAGUCUUGAUCAGUCUCUGUUAGUUCCCAGUGGUAACCAGAGUCAAGCUCAAGUUCUGCCCACUGAAGCAGUACUUUGUUAAUUUUAGGAGCUCUUCAGUUCCUACACCCUUGAAGUAGGAUGGAAUACUGAGCUUAUCACUACCACAUUCCCACUGCCAUAAUCCUUCACAUUCUAUGAUUAUCAAUAAAGCACGUUUUCACCAUGUCAUAAGUGCUGAAUCAGCUCUCAUAUUUAAGCAAAAGUAGACUCAUAGGCGCUGAAAGGUAUACUGACGCAAGGUAUAGAUUUAGUAGAUUUAAUCAAACCAUCUUCCAAGCACCUAUCCUGGACAGGGUUAUUGAGGGGGGGAGCUCAGUCUUCUCCAGGCAGAACAAGGCAGAUGUGCACCAAGGGUGUCAGUCUGUCACAGGGCAAACACACACACACAUGGGCUCACAUGCAGAGUAGGAUCAAGCCCUCAGUCCCACAAGAAGUUAAGGACCAGAACUACUCACUGGAUCGCCCUAGAAAACAUAAUAUUUCUAUAAAACAUUUAAUGAGAAAAUGCGAAAUAAAGGCCAAAUUACGGGAUAUUUUGAGUGAACAGUACUAGACGAUCUGUUCCAUGUCAUUCUACUACUGCCUGGGCUCCACAAAGCCACGGAGAGCCAUAUGCGAAGAACCUCUGCAGGAAUAGGAGAGCAAUUCAAUUCUGCUAAAAAAACCAUAGGAUAACAGUCUGAAGCUCUGCAGUUACGCGACGAGAGCACAAUGACUCCAGCUCUUCUGCGGAUUUUAAUUCCUGCUAGGCACCAGUAAAUAAGUGCGGAUCACGAUACUUGGGAGUCUCAUGGUCUCUGGGGUUUUCUCCGGGGGGGGCGGGGUGAGGCUGUUAAAUGGGUGUGGGUAUCUCUAGAGUGCCCGCAGAAUCUCUCUUAAUUAGACACACCCGACUGAGCAGGCCUGUCCGCAGCACAUAGACCGUAAUUACAGCACUAGCAGGAAUUAAGAGUUGAGCGGAGAACAGAUUCACACAGACACACACAGAUGCUAUAUGAGAACACUUAAUUUCAUUCCCCGCCCUUGCACUUUAUUUUGUGCUUGGUUCAAAACUUGCAGACAAAGCCAGUCAAAACAUAUCCGAAUUAGCCUGGUACAUCAAAAGGUCCAUCUCUGACUGAUAGUUUCGCUGUUUUUAUAGUGAUCUUUGUCUUUUGCAGCUCAAGGAACAGGCAUAUUCAACGGUAGAUACAUCAACAGCAGCAUCCCAUUCAGUGCAAAAAAACUAAGGCUAAUGUCAUAAUUAUUAUGAAGACAGCAGAGAGUGUGAUGAACAGGCCUGAAAUCAACGUGCCUUUUUUUCGGUAGUGUGUAGGAGCCAUUUUCUCCACUGCAGAAAAGAGUUUACGAUUCUCACAUCCACAGCCAUGCCACAACAUAAAAAGUCUACCCGCACAAUAUUAAAAAAAUCAUAUAUGUGCUUUUUCAGCAUGUUUACAUAAAUACAGUACAUUCAAUACUCCCUUUUAAAGAUAAUGUCCCACAGAGCAAAGAAGAAUCUGAGGACUGCAUUGGAAAACCAUAUAUAAACAAGAAGAAGGAGAAAAAUUUGGGAAGUUUCCAGAAAGGAAUACAGUGAGAUAUUACAUUUAACAUGCGCACUCCCCAGUUAGUUGCUAUUAUAUCAUGAUAUAUCCAUUAUAAUGUAUGGUGCAUAUCAUGAUAAAUGUGUACUAUUUAAUGUAAGAUAUUAAAGUCAGUAAUAUAUUUUAGGCUAAUACUAAAUAUUAAAAAAAUACUGUAUAUAAAUGUUAUUAUUUUCUGAAAGCUUCAAAUUAUCUAUAAUCCAAAAAAUUAAUAUGAAAUAAAUUAAAUUCUUUAGAAUUAUGCACAAAAGUGAAAAUUGCCUUGGGUUUCCAUGGAUGAAUCAACAAGUUUAUUGUUAUAUUUCUGCAACUGAUUAUAACAAAGCAGUUCUUCCAGCUGUGUUUCCAUCUACAAGCUACAACUAACAAAAUCAGCCUCUAGCAAUAUGAAAUGCAUGGCUUCCCUGUUUCAGAACCACGUCUGCCAGACCAUAAGGGGACUUCAAAGUUAAAAAAAAAUGUUGAUUAAUUUCUCAGAGAGAAGCAGAGAGCCAACUGUUUUCAACCUGGGGUCACUCUGUAUGGUAUCAGACCUUGGUCCUUGUCAGGAGUCUGGCAACAGAGGUUUGUCUAUGUGAGAUGAGCUACAGACUUCGGUGGAGGAGCCAAGACCAAACAAUACACACACACACACACACGCACAUGCACACACACACACACACGCACACACACACACACAUAUGCACACACGCAUGUGCACAUUCACAUAUGCACAUACACAUAUGCACACACACGCACACACACAUGCACACGCAUGCACAUACACACAUAUGCACACACAUGUGCACAUACACAUAUGCACAUACACACAUGCACACGCACGCACACACAGACAUGCAUGCACACACACACACACACACAAAUAUGCACGCACGCACGUGCACACACGCACAAACAUACACACAUGCACACACACACACGGAUACACACACAACCACACACACACACAACCACACACACACACAUGCACACAUACACACACACAUACACACAUGCACACAUACACACAGACACACAUGCACACGGAUGCGCACACACACACACGGAUGCACACACAACCACACGCACACGCGCACACACACAUACACAUGUAUAUGCACAGUCCACAUAUUCAUUAUGGGGACUCUCCAUCCAUUCCUACGGCCCUGACCCUAACCCUAAUUCCAACUAUGACAACCUUAACCCCUGCACAGCCCUAACCUUAACCAUAAGUAAAAAAAAUUUAAAAAAAAUACCAGAGUUCUGACAUUUUUCAUUUUUUGAUCGCAUGUCCUCGAAAAGUAUGUCCCCACAAGGUAAAAGUUUACAGGGAGAUUUGGUCCCCACAAUGCAUUAGAAAAAUGCAUACACACACACACACCACACACAUUCACACACUUUUCGCUCAGAAAUAAAGUGUAAGGACCUGGCUGACACAUAAAUGCCAGUUGUGUUGAAACACAUAAUCACAUGCUUGCAUAUGCCCAUAAUCCCACUGUGUACCCACACAUUAAAACUAUCUGUGAUGGUCCAGAACUUCUAUUAAGAAGUGAAAGAUUUAUAUGAGACAGAGUGUACCCUGGGCAGGAUUGGCCAUUUAUUUUAGGGCACUCACAAACACAUUCAUAUAUAACAAAGACAAGACGACGGCGAUAUAUCUAGUGAGUGUGUCUUUGGCCUGUGAAACCAGGUACUGAAGGACCUGGAAUGAACCCGAGAAGCAAACUCCACAGGCAGUAAGGGCUGGACAUAAACCUCCAACCAUGAAGAUGUGUGACAACAAUGCUACUGUCUGAGCCACACAGAACGGUGAUUCUGUGAGCAACAUUUGGCAACCGAACAUGCAUAGGGGAGACGGGGACAACUGCUGAAUCGAAUCUGGUAUCUAUUUAAUCAUUAAUCUGUGUACUUUUACUUUGACAGGUUUCAUAAGCAUCAGUGCUUUCGCUAGAAGCCUUAAGCUAGCAGAGGUGGAGGGGUGGGCAGCUUGCUGAAGUGUGUUAGAAGCCUGUUCCACUAACCACAUUUGACAACUGUUCCUGGUGACUCCUAUGACUAAAAAAUUAGGGCUGUGGCAAAAUAUUUAUAUAUUCAUAUAAACAUAUUAUAUAUUUCAUUUGCUGAUUCAUAUGUGGAAUGCAUCCUAAACAUGCAUGUCUUUUCUAUUCUGCUGAUGCUGACCAGAGCUAUACUAUAUUAUGCCAUGUCUACUCAAAGGCAGAUGUCAAAAUUAUUAUUAUUAUUUUAAUAUUUGGUUUAUGUGAGUGCCUUACCACCCUCUAGUGCCUUCGUCAGCAUGUCACGGGACAGAACUGUUCCACUCCAACAUGCGGUUUCGCCUCUAUUUUUACCCCGCUUGCUGCCUGACAGUCCCAGACAGAGUGCCUUUUGUGUACCCCAGCGAAAGUGAUGUGGAGCGUCCAGCAGCAGAGCAUUUCUGAGAAGGGAGCUCAUCUAAGCACUGGCUUGACUCUACGUCUUCAGGCCCGGAUGAGGUGAUCCUGUUUAUCUCCUGUGCGGGUGUCUCGCAGCUUGUAGGGAUCCUACGGUCUACCGUUGCCAUGUUCCAACGCCAGGAAAUAUUGUGUGUUUUGCAAUUAAAAUAAAUGACUCUAUUCUGAAAACUGAACACUGCCAAGAUAUCCUUUGACUGUCCAUUAGAAGGACCUUUGAGAUCUGAGUUGUCCUCCCAGCUGAAGGUCAUUGGGGAAAGCCAGCGUGGACGUUAUCCUUUGCUCCUCGGCUUACCGUCUGGAAGUCCUGUAGCUCCGUCAGUGUCUUCUUGUCCACGACCACCGGCCCCUUCAGCUUGCAGUGGAAAGCCUCUUCUACUCUGCGGUAGGAGGACAGGCCAUCCAAGGCGAUGAGGGCAGGGGGCAGCUGGCUAGGGCCGACUUGUGUGUCCAUGGCUGCACGUCUUUCUGUUGCCUCUGAAGGAAGAGCGCACAAGAGGCGCAGUUACAAGAAGACCAUCAAGCUCUGCAUGAUAUUCAGAUGUCCAUUUUAGCAAUAGAGAUUAAAGUGACAUUAAAGUUGAAUGUAAUGUUAAGGUUCAACAGUAACAGUCCAAAAGUGUUAUAUAUAGUGCUAAGUAAUAAAAGUGGUCUAAAUAA